rnacentral:rRNA from 1 species
UACGUAGGUGGCAAGCGUUGUCCGGAUUUACUGGGCGUAAAGAGCGCGCAGGCGGUCGUUCAAGUCGCGUGUGAAAGCCCCCGGCUCAACUGGGGAGGGUCACGCGAUACUGAUCGACUCGAAGGCAGGAGAGGGAAGUGGAAUUCCCGGUGUAGUGGUGAAAUGCGUAGAUAUCUGGAGGAAUACCGGUGGCGAAGGCGGCAUCCUGGACCGACAUUGACGCUGAUGAGCGAAAGCUAGGGGAGCAAACGGG